UGUUAAAAAAUUCACCCAAUUUAUAUUGUUAAAAACUAAUAUAGCUAACAAAAUAACUAAAUAAUUACACAUGAUAUGUCACGUGUACUUAAUUUUGACAUACGGAAACCAAUUUUUAACGGUAAAAGUAGAUGAAAUUUUUAAAA
rfam:Gossypium hirsutum cultivar TM-1 unplaced genomic scaffold scaffold1588.1, whole genome shotgun sequence